AGUGAACGCUGGCGGUAGGCCUAACACAUGCAAGUCGAACGGCAGCACAGAGGAGCUUGCUCCUUGGGUGGCGAGUGGCGGACGGGUGAGGAAUACAUCGGAAUCUACUCUGUCGUGGGGGAUAACGUAGGGAAACUUACGCUAAUACCGAAUACGACCUACGGGUUAAAGCAGGGGAUCUUCGGACCUUGCGCGAUUGAAUGAGCGGAUGUCGGAUUAGCUAGUUGGCGGGGUAAAGGCACACCAAGGCGACGAUCCGUAGCUGGUCUGAGAGGAUGAUCAGCCACACUGGAACUGAGACACGGUCCAGACUCCUACGGGAGGCAGCAGUGGGGAAUAUUGGACAAUGGGCACAAGCCUGAUCCAGCCAUACCGCGUGGGUGAAGAAGGCCUUCGGGUUGUAAAGCCCUUUUGUUGGAAAGAAAUCCAUCUGGUUAAUACCCGGGUGGGAUGACGGUACCCAAAGAAUAAGCACCGGCUAACUUCGUGCCAGCCGCCGCAGUAAGAC
rnacentral:rRNA from 1 species